GGCGCGGCGAGCUCCGGCUCCGUCUCAUGGGGCAGGUGGAGCAGCACGACACCGGGGCUCCAGCUCGUGGAGAAGACCCGGUAGACAGAGGACGGCGAGCGACGACCGCGGAGGUACGUGUGGCGUCAGGACAAGCAAGCGAGGGAUGACCAAGCCAGAUCCACCUUCAGGUUUGUGCAGAGGCAACAGCAACACAUGUUUGACAUUAUCAACCUGUAGAUUUGGUACUAUAUUGGUUUGAAGAUUAUGUCGGAUCCACAAGAGAGGCAAAAUAUGGAGUGGAAACUACAGUCCAGACACUGCAGGCUUUGAAAGAUUUGGAUGGAGCACAGGUCGGGAUGCUCCCGUUCAUCUUUGGUGAGUGUGCCAAUCUGCAGCAUCCUUGAUAAUUUUGAAGUGUUAGAAUCUGUUACACGUUAAUUGUAAAUCUUGAAAGAUAUUAAUCUUGGCCCGUGUGCCAAUCUGCAGCAUUCUUUAGAUUUCUUUUAGGAUAUUAACACAUUUUUUGCUGUAAAAAGGAGAUGAUAUAGGAUUUUACUUUAACCUAUAUCUUCUCCUUUGCUAACAAUGAAAUAAUAUAUCAGACCAGAGGGAUUAGUUGAGAUCAGGCGUUUAGUUGCAUGCUUGAGUAACUGCUUAAAAUAGUUGUUGGUGUUGCCUCCCAGAUGAUUAUUUAUAGUUUGUUGGUUCAUGAGGAACCAUCAAGCAUAUUUGGCUUUUAUUCAUAUUUCUGACGCUUCGAUGAUUGAUGAUGUAGUAGCUUGAUGUCCUAGCAGUGUAUAUUUUGUUUAUGGUCACUGUAAGAAUAAGCUGAGAACAAUACACACA